UGUGACCUCAAAUCAGGUAGGACUACCCGCUGAACUUAAGC
rnacentral:rRNA from 3 species